AAUCCAGUGACUGAUUAGCCUGAGCCGUAGAGCUGAGCCUGUAGCAAGAGGAUUGGGAAUGGUCGGAUUUAAGAAUAUGCCAAUAACUCAUUUCCAAACAAAUAAACAGCAGUAACAGAUACAGGGAGCCAUAGAAGGGGCAGGGAGUGAAACUGGCAUUUAUUUCCAACAAUGCAUCAGAUUUGAAGAACUGUUUGCUAUCUGAGCCAAAGAACCACUCUGUGAAGCGAGCAUGAUUUGUCUGUCCUCAUAAAAUCUAUCCUCAUGAGGUGGGAGUCUGUACUUUCCCUGCACAGUCGCACCACGCUUCGCUCCACAGACAGGCAGACUUUGCAGUGCCUCCGUGUGCGACUACCUUGAGCAGCAGUUUGAGGGACUUUGCAGGGAAAAUGCUGUGCAGUGAGGCGUAGGGGAUUGUCUACAGCAGGGCGACCCCAGUGGAGAUGCGCCGAGGGGUGUGGUGCUCCUCCAACAGCUCUCUCAUGAGGUUCUCUCUGUAUUUUUGGUGGUCUACCUUCCCUGUGGCCGACAUGGUUGCUGUAUGGACAGUGGAGAGGACAUGGACGUCUCGUUUGUCAUGCCACUUUACUGCCAGCUGUUGACCGUUCUCCUGGAACUCCACCUCCCCUCUCUGCAUCUUCCUGCAUCCGAAUGCCGGCAUCCCCUUCCUGUUCGACCUGACUGUGCCACAGGCCCCUGUGCUGUUGGAGAGCAGAUGCUGGAAGAGUGUGGGCCUGCUGUAGCAAUUGUCCACGUACAAAGUGUGUCCCUUGCCGAGAUGAGGAGCCAGCAUGGUCAUCACCACGGACCCAGACACCCCAAGCCCCUCAUAAUGUUU
rnacentral:lncRNA from 1 species